AGUCAAUAAGUUUAACCUAAGCCAAACCCUAUACCUUGAAAGUAUAGUAAGAAAGUUGGAAUCUUUCAUUGACUU
rnacentral:tRNA from 1 species